AAAAAGCCACACAGAAUGUAAAAGGUAGGAAAAAGCACCACGAGCCACACAGAAUGUAAAAGGUAGGCAAAGGGUACUAGACGAGACGACUCCGAAAGUCGUCUGUUUGCACUUUUUGACCGUCUCAAUCUCUAUUUUUGAAAGAGAGGGAGAGAGAGAGAAAAGGAUUGAGCUUCAAACUUCAUACUAGAGAGAAAACAGGAUUGGAAUUGCAGUCUCACAGAUCCAACUCGUUUUGUCGUUUUGUCCUACUCUUCAGGAUUUGCAGUCUCGCAGAUAUAACUCGUUUGGCCCUACUCUUCAGGAGAAUUAUGGGUCCUCAAGGUGUCCUCCCAGCUGGAUUCAUUGUUCGUGAACUUCUUGACAAAGGAAACUACCAGGACUGGAGCGUUUGGGUGAAAACCUACUUGAUGAGUGAAGAUCUUUGGGACAUUGUGGAAUCUAUGGAUGAACCUCCACAACCCAAACAUGGUGAUGCAUUCAAGUAUUGGAGGUCCAAGAACGCCUCUGCUGUAACAUCCCGUUCCGAACCAUGUCGGGAUUUUUGCAUGUUGAUCGAGGUUGACUGUUGAUCGUUGACCGAAGGGGUCAAAAGUUGACUUUUUGAUCCGAUUAGAAUUCUAGGUUGGCUGAGGUACCGUUACGAAAUACACGUUGGCACGAGUUCGUAGACUAGUAGCACGUUGAAAACGGAGCUACGGUUUGAAAGUUAUGAGCAAAACAAGUUGAGGUCCAAACUGUCCAAAGGGUGCCGGAGUUGACUUUUUAUUCAUGCAAGGUUGAGCUUUGACUCAUGCAUGGUUGUGAAGUGCUCGUCGAUACGAGUCCGUAAACUAGCGGCACGUCCGAUUUGGACAUGUGGUUUGAAAGUUAUGGAUCUGUAGAGUUUUUCAAAUACCGUAUUAUUUUAAUAUUAUUUUUAAACACGUAACGAUGUGCCACGUGUGACUUAAUGAAGGUGACCAUGUGUCACCAUGUUGAGAAGCCACAUGUCAACCAUGUGUAAAAUCAAAUUAUUUUUAUUAUUAUUUUAAAUAAUAACAUUAUUAUUUAAUAAUUUUUUUAUUUUCCUUUUUCUUUUUCUUUUUCUUUUCCUUUUUCUUUUCUUUUUCUUUUUCUUUUCUUUUCCCCACGUGGGAAAACACCGUCUCUUUUCUUUUUUUCUUUUUUUUCUUUUCCUUUCCUUCCCUUCUUCUUCCCCGAGCCCGACAGAGACAAAACGCAGAAAUUCUUUUUCUCUCUCUCUCUCUCCUUUGACUCUCUCCCUCUCCCUGUUUGACUGACCGGUUGGCCGGAUUUCAGUCGCCGGAAUGUAACACGCGCCGGCCACCGUCCAAGCCCACAUGCCGGCGAGCUCACCAGCCAAAUUUGACUGCCGGCCGGCCGGCGACACGCCCAGAUCGGGCCAGCGAAGUCGCGGCGGCGAGGUGAAAUUUUUCCGGCGAUUCUCGCCGUUUCCGGCCAGCCCAAUCCGAAUUAAACCUCAUCUCCCCCUAUUUUAGGUCCUCUGGGUGUGUUUGGUUUGUUGGAUUGGCCAGGAUUGGAUGGGACACAGUCCCAGUCUGCUGUUUGGUUGAUCAUUUUGAGCUCGGGACAGAUGUAACCUAAACAGUAAAUUAAUCCCAAAUGAUCAGGAAACAGCUGACCCGUCUCUCCCCCUAGGUCAUUUUUGUCCCAAACUCAAAAAAGCCCUUGUUCUCUCGCUUAUCGUUGCCUCGCGUGGAAGAUCAAAGGAAAAAUCACAGCUCGGUUGGCCAUCUACUAUAGUCGAUCUGGAGAAAGGGCUUCCAUUUGCAAGCAAAACCCCAAACUGCAAAGAACCCAGGCCAUCUUAUAGUCGAUCUGGAAAGGGCUUCCAUUUGCAAGCAAAACCCCAAACUGCAAAGAACCCAGGCCAUCUUAUAGUCGAUCUGGAAAGGGAUUCCAUUUGCAAGCAAAACCCCAAACUGCAAAGAACCCAGGUAAGUUUCAGCUGUCUCUCCUCUCUGUUUUGUUGUCGUGGGAUCUGUCUCUCCUCUCCUCUCUGUUUUGUUGUCGUGCAAAGAACCCCAAAUUGUUAGUUUUUUCUCUGCAUUUGUGAAAUUUUUUUUCCCUCAAUACAAAUUAUUGCACCCAAGAUAGUCUGCAAAUUUUACACACUGCCUGAUGGGUUCCAAAACAAAAACCUUCACCUAAACACUUUCACUCUAUAUUUUCACAAAAAAAAAUAUACUGAAUUUUUAUGAUAGGACUGUGUUAAGCAUUAUUACUGAUAGGACUUGAAAAUGGUAAGGCUACACAGAUCAGGAUGAACAGCAAAAUAGUUUUCUUCUGCUCUGUGUUUCGUUGUUUAGAUUUAUUCCUGUACGCUUUAGUGGAGAAGCUCUUGGCGAGUCUCUUUGCUGCACGGGGCAGUAACAACAAACCACACAUUGCAGAUAUUAGUUUCCAAAUCACAGCAGAAUUUGCCAAAAUGCUUGCAACUAUUUCUAAAUGUAUGAUGUAUAUUUAUCUCUAUGGCACUUGUGUUGUGCAUUUUUAUGAACAAAAUAUCCUAUUUUUGAAAUUCAAAUGGUCAUGGUGUAUCUCUCAUCUGUCUUGCUGCACAGUGGAACAAUAUGUUUCUUUAUGAUGAAGUAUUAAAAAUUCACCUAUUUCGUAGAAGAGCUCGUUAAUAUUUUCUGCUGUCUUUGCUGAUGUUUCAAUGAAGAACAUU